AAAAGUGAAGAAGAGCAUACGGAGGAUGCCUAAGCACUGCAAGUCGAAGAAGGACGCGGCGAACUGCGAAAAUUCCCGGGGAGCUGUAAGCGAGCGGAGAUCCGGGAGUAUCCGAAUGGGGCAACCCGCUAAUCAGGAGGAUUAGCACCCGCGAGGGGGAGGACGGCGUGAACUGAAACAUCUCAGUAGCGUCAGGAAGAGAAAGUAAAUAAACGAUUCUCUGAGUAGUGGCGAACGAAAGGGGAAGAGCCUAAACCGUUCAGAGAUGAGCGGGGUAGAGGGACCGUGAGAGUAGUAUUAUGGACUUAUAGGCGAACCUGUCUGGAAAGGCAGACCGGAGGGGGUGAAAGUCCCGUAGCCGGCAUGAGUUCAUAAGCGAAGCGGGAUCCCGAGUAGCCCGGGGCACGAGGAAUCCUGGGUGAAUCAGCGUGGACCAUCACGUAAGGCUAAAUAGUUGCAGUGACUGACAGCGCAGCAGUACCGUGAGGGAAAGGUGAAAAGGACCCCGGGAGGGGAGUGAAAGAGAACCUGAAACCGUAUGCUUACGAGCGGUCAGAGCCUUGCCUCCAUUAUAGUCAUAAGAGAGGAGUAUUUGUGAUUAUAAUGGAGGUAGGGUGAUGGCGUGCCUUUUGCAUAAUGAGCCGACGAGUUGCUGUCAUCAGCGAGGUUAAGGUUUAGAGGACUGGAGCCGGAGCGAAAGCGAGUAUGAAUAAUGCGGAGAGUUGAUGGUAGCAGACCCGAAACCAGGUGAUCUAUCCAUGUCCAGGCCGAAGUUGGGGUAAAGCCCAAUGGAGGGCCGCACCAACCGGCGUUGAAAAGCCGGUGGAGGAGGUGUGGAUAGGGGUGAAAGGCCAAUCAAACCUGGAGAUAGCUGGUUCUCUCCGAAACAUAUUUAGGUAUGGCCUUGGUUAAGACUGCUGGAGGUAGAGCGCUGGAUGGGCUAGGGGCCUGAGAGGGCUACUGAACCCAACCAAACUACGAAUGGCAGCAGUUGGAUGACCGGGAGACAGGGCGUGAGGGAUAAGCUUCACGUGCGAGAGGGGAACAACCCAGACAGUCAGCUAAGGGCCUUAAUUGGAUGCUAAGUGCGUAAGGAUGUGCAGUUGCACAGACAGCCAGGAUCUUGGCUUAGAAGCAGCCAUGAUUUAAAGAGUGCGUAACAGCUCACUGGUCGAGUGGUCGUGCACCGAAGAUGAGCGGGACUGAAGCAUACACCCGAAGCUGCUGAUCAUAUAGAGAUAUAUGGUGGUAGGAGAGCAUUGUAACGGCGAGGAAGGUGAGUUGUAAGAUGAGCUGGAGCUGUUACAAGAGAGCAUGUUGGCAUGAGUAACGAUAAUGCGGAUGGGAAGUCCGCACACCACAAGCCCGAGGAUUCCUGAGUAAAGAAAAUCUGCUCAGGGUUAGUCGGACCCUAAGGUGAGGCCGAGAGGCGUAGCUGAUGGGAGUCAGGUUAAUAAUCCUGAACCUGUUGAUAAGAGCGAUGGAGUGACGCAUCAGUGCGACGGGGACAGCUGUUGGAAUAGCUGUUGAAUGCAUGUAGGAUGAGGGGCAGGCAAAACCGUCCCUCGAGCAGUCCGAGGAGCAGGACGAGGCCGUAAGGCCGAAAGCCCGUUUAGAGAUGAUGCCGAGAAAUAGCUUCUAAGCGUUGGAUUUAUUGACAGACCGUACCGGAAACCGACACAGGUGGGCGAGGAGAGUAUCCUGCGGUGUUCGAGCGAACUCUGGUUAAGGAACUAGGCAAACUAACCCCGUAACUUAGGGAGAAGGGGUACCCCGUUAUUGUGAACGAGGACAUCGGGAGCGAGAGGGGGUCGCAGUGAAGAGGCCCAAGCGACUGUUUAUCAAAAACACAGGUCUGUGCGAAGGCGUAAGCCGCGGUAUACAGACUGACACCUGCCCGGUGCCGGAAGGUUAAAUGGAGAGGUUAGCCGCGAGGCGAAGCUUUGAAAUGAAGCCCCGGUAAACGGCGGCCGUAACUAUAACGGUCCUAAGGUAGCGAAAUUCCUUGUCGGGUAAGUUCCGACCUGCACGAAUGGUGUAACGACUUGGGCGCUGUCUCAACCAGGGGCUCGGUGAAAUUGAAGUAGCGGUGAAGAUGCCGCUUACCCGCGAACGGACGGAAAGACCCCGUGAACCUUUACUGCAACCUGGUCUUGUGGAUCGGGUCAGUAUGUGUAGGAUAGGUGGGAGGCUGAGAGUUCGGCACGCCAGUGUCGGAGGAGCCGAUGUUGAAAUACCACCCUUAUUGUCUUGGUUUGCUAACGUGCAUAAGUCAAGUGCACGGACAUGGUCAGGCGGGCAGUUUGACUGGGGCGGUCGCCUCCGAAAGAGUAACGGAGGCUUACCAAGGUUCCCUCAGGCUGGUUGGUAAUCAGCCAAAGAGCGCAAAGGUAUAAGGGAGCUUAACUGCGAGACUGACGGGUCGAGCAGGUGGGAAACCAGGUCUUAGUGAUCCGGCGGUUCUGAAUGGAAGGGCCGUUGCUCAAAGGAUAAAAGGUACUCCGGGGAUAACAGGCUGAUACCGCCCAAGAGUUCA
rnacentral:rRNA from 1 species